UCCACGCGGAGCGGCGCGCGCGGCGUGCGGCGGGACGGAGGGGCGCUGGCGAGCUUCGAUGGCGGCGGCGAGCAGGCGAGGGCGGCGUCCCCUUCUCGGCCUCCCCUGCUCCCCUGCUCGGGAGCGGCGCGCCGCGGCCCCGCUCGGUCGCGCGCUGUGCCGCGGGUUCCGCCCGGCCGCGCGCCCCGCGGCAGCUCCUCCUCCCGAGGCCGCAGCAGCCCAGCGAGCUCCAGGGGUGGCGGCAGACCGGCGAGCUCCACGGAGUGGCGGCGGGCCGGCGAGCUCCACAGAGUGGCGGCGGACCGGCGAGCUCCACGGAGUGGCGGACCGGCGAGCUGGACCGCGCCCGCUGCCGCAACGCGGAGCUGGAGGAGCGGCUGCGGUGGCGCCCAUGGCUGCCCGCGACGCUCGGCUUCCUCUGUGGGAGGCACGCUGGUCGAGCGCGGGCGGAUGGCCGGCAAGGCGGGCGGAUGCGUUUGCCUCUCCAACUGUUGGAGGCACCAAGAAAAUACUCUAUUUCAACCACUGUAGACGCAAGGCAAAUUGCAUUUGCCUCUUCAAUUUGCCUCCCUCCUGUUGAAGUCAGUCUUAUGCUGCGAGCAAUGCCUUAUCUAGACCAUAAGCGGAGGCCCAUUUCCUUUGCUGGUAAAGUUAUCGAUGUGUGAACUGCCUAGGUUGGAAGAGGUGUGGAUGGUAGCAGAGAGGACCAUGCCUGAUGAAGAAGAGGGAGGAGGCUGCAGCAAUAGCACACCUCAUACAGGACAGGUCCGAGUUGGUAGUUGCUUAUCAAAGUUGGAAAUACUAAAAUGUCCUAGUUUGAAGGUGAAGCCAUACCUGCCUUCAUCCCUGCACAAGUUGAUGCUGUGCGGCUGCACCGAACAGCUGCUGCAGUCCUCCAAUUUUAGCCAGCUGAAGAAGCUCGUGGUAUGGGGGAACGGAGGAUUAGGAUCUGGGCGUGGGUGGGAGCUGCUGCAUCCAAUGACGGCACUCGAGUCAUUGGAGAUUCAGCAUUCCAGUGGUCUAAUUGAGCUGCCAGAGAGUUUGGGGAACCUCAAGUCCCUCCGGUCUCUGGAGGUGUUUGCAUGCUCUGCUAUUCGCAUGCUGCCCAUGUCGCUAGGGGAGCUUCCGUCUCUGCAAGAGCUGACCAUUACGAUCUGCCAUUGCUUCGAAAGCUUUCCACAAUCAAUAGGGCGUCUCACAUCCCUUCAGUUGCCCAAGAUAGUAAUGUGUGGUGCACUUCAGCAAUUACCCGAAUGCCUGGGAGGCCUUCGCUCUCUACGCAAACUCUGCCUUUCUAGGUUGCCGCUGCUGACUUGCAUUCCCCAAUCCAUUUGCCACCUCACCUCCCUUAAAGUGUUCUUGAUCGGGUGCUGUCCAGGCAUCAAAUCCUUGCCAGAAGGGGUAAAAGGGCUCACUGCUCUGCAGGAACUGGAUAUCCAUGGCUGCCCCAAUCUCGCGAGGCACUGCGAGAGGAGAAAGGGUGAGGGCUGGCACCUCAUCUCCCACAUCCCUCAUCUGCAGAUAGGACAGGAGAAGCUUGAUGCCACAUCAUCAUUUUAUUAAGUUCCAAGCUACAUAUGGGAACCCAUUGCUAGCAGCUAGAGAUUCAAAAAGUUCACCAAAGGUUGCCGAAGCUGGUAUUCUUGCAAUGGAGGUGCUCAUAAGCAGAUAUUUGUAAUUUGCAAUAUAUGGUCAUCUGUUGUGACCUCUAAAAAUAAAUUUGACCCAAUGUAGGAUCUUCAGGCAUGAAUAGAGCACACCGUUUGGGUCAAAGGAAAAUGGCGAAUAUUCACUGUCUCAUCAUGUGUGGCACCCUUGAGGAGACGGUGAUGAGUCUCCAGAGGUUCGAGGUAUCAGUGCGUGAUCCAUUGGCAUCCACCCCGAGAAAAGUAAACCUUGGGCAGUUUAUUUAUUUUUGCCAUUUAGCGAAACACGUGCAAAUGGUUUGUUUCUGAUCCUUUC